rnacentral:rRNA from 1 species
GACGGAGGACGCAAGUGUUAUCCGGAAUCACUGGGCGUAAAGCGUUUGUAGGUGGUUUAAUAAGUCAACUGUUAAAUCUUGAGGCUCAACCUCAAAAUCGCAGUCGAAACUAUUAGGCUAGAGUAUAGUAGGGGUAAAGGGAAUUUCCAGUGGAGCGGUGAAAUGCGUAGAGAUUAGGAAGAACACCAGUGGCGAAGGCGGCUCACUGGGCUGACCUUGACGCUGAGGCGCGAAGGCGUGGGGAGCGAACGGG